GUCGAGAAUAAUUCACAAUGGGGGAAACCCUGAUGGUGCAACGCCGCGUGGAGGAUGAAGGUCUUCGGAUUGUAAACUCCUGUCAUGUGGGAGUAAAGCCGGGUGUUAAAUGCAUGCCGGUCUGAGAGUACCACAAGAGGAAGGGACGGCUAACUCUGUGCCAGCAGCCGCGGUAAUACAGAGGUCCCAAGCGUUGUUCGGAAUCACUGGGCGUAAAGGGUGCGUAGGCGGCGCGGAAAGUCAGGGGUGAAAUCCCGGAGCUCAACUCCGGAACUGGCUUUGAUACUCCCGCGCUUGAGAACUGGAGGGGAGACCGGAAUUCACGGUGGAGCAGUGAAAUGCGUGGAUAUCGUGAGGAACACUAGUGGCGAAGGCGGGUCUCUGGACAGUAUCUGACGCUGAGGCACGAAGGCCAGGGGAGCGAACGGGAUUAGAUACCCGGGUAGUCC
rnacentral:rRNA from 1 species